UUGGAUGGCCAGUUAAAGCACUGAUGGCAGCCAAAGGACUAAAUGGCUUGCCAAAAUGGUCUCUUCCUGUUGGAGAUAGUCUACGAGCUGCUUUGUUUAGCUCAAAAUAGACUAUGGCACAAACAUUUAGUCUUAAGGGUUUGUUUGGUUCGUUGCCUCAGUUGCCACAGUUUGCCACGCCUAAGUUCAUGCAAGUUUAACUGAGUUAGGCAUGUGUUUGGUUUGUAGCCACAAUUGUGGUAAGAUUUUUCUCGUGCUGCGUAGGUCCCACUUGUCAAUGACUUGUAAAAGCAUGUCAGAUUCCCUUAGUCAUGCCACAGUUGUGGCGCAGAAUUUGAGCGCUUAACCUUAGACAAGUGUGGCAAAAAAUGUGUGGUAAUUUUUGGCAUCUUAGGCAAGAAACCAAACAGCCCCUAAAUGACGUGGUUUAAAAAUUUCUUACACUGUUUUCAGUCUCUUUUAACGUGUUUCUAGAUCGGCCACUACUGUCGGUGAACGGACCGAGUUGGCCCGACAGCGUCGACUGCCUUCUC
rnacentral:lncRNA from 1 species